AGUGAGCGCUGGCGGUAGGCCUAACACAUGCAAGUCGAACGGCAGCACAGUAAGAGCUUGCUCUUACGGGUGGCGAGUGGCGGACGGGUGCGGAAUACAUCGGAAUCUACUUUUUCGUGGGGGAUAACGUAGGGAAACUUACGCUAAUACCGCAUACGACCUACGGGUGAAAGCAGGGGAUCUUCGGACCUUGCGCGAUUGAAUGAGCCGAUGUCGGAUUAGCUAGUUGGCGGGGUAAAGGCCCACCAAGGCGACGAUCCGUAGCUGGUCUGAGAGGAUGAUCAGCCACACUGGAACUGAGACACGGUCCAGACCCCUACGGGAGGCAGCGGUGGGAAUAUUGGACAAUGGGCGCAAGCCUGAUCCAGCCAUACCGCGUGGGUGAAGAAGGCCUUCGGGUUGUAAAGCCCUUUUGUUGGGAAAGAAAAGCAGCAGGUUAAUACCCCGCUGUUCUGACGGUACCCAAAGAAUAAGCACCGGCUAACUUCGUG
rnacentral:rRNA from 1 species